rnacentral:rRNA from 1 species
AGAAUGUGUAAAAUCCNCWGAUCUUGGCGGUGUCUUAURAUACCAGGGGAACCUGUCUCAUAACUCGAUAAUCCACGAAAUCCCAACCUUCUAUUGAAUAAUCAGCUUGUAUACUGCCGUCGCAAGUAUACCUCUAAAAGAAAUAAGUAUACUAAAAUGAAAUAUAUAGCACCACUUACGUCAGGUCAAAGUGCAGCUAAUAAGAAGGGGAUGAUGGGUUACAACCUAAAUCAAGAUAUAAAUUGAAAUACUAAAAAUUUCAUGAAAGUGGACUUGGUUGUAAUUAUAAUUAAAUAUUAUAAUGAACGUAAAUCUAAGACAUGCACACAUCGCCCGUCACUCUACCCACUAGGGUAGAUAAGUCGUAACAA